rnacentral:rRNA from 1 species
AUCGGAAAGCUUUGGCCGGAAGAUACGUUAUCUAGUGGCGGACGGGUGAGUAACACGUGGGUAACCUGCCUUAUGGAGGGGGAUAACAGAGAGAAAUCACUGCUAAUACCGCAUAAGCACACAGUACCGCAUGGUACAGGGUGAAAAGAUUUAUCGCCAUAAGAUGGACCCGCGUCUGAUUAGCCAGUUGGCAGGGUAAAAGCCUACCAAAGCAACGAUCAGUAGCCGAUCUGAGAGGAUGACCGGCCACAUUGGGACUGAGACACGGCCCAAACUCCUACGGGAGUCAGCAGUGGGGAAUAUUGCACAAUGUGGGAAACCCUGAUGCAGCGACGCCGCGUGAGUGAAGAAGUAUUUCGGUAUGUAAAGCUCUAUCAGCAGGGAAGAUAAUGACAGUACCUGACUAAGAAGCCCCGGCUAACUACGUGCCAGCAGCCGCGGUAAUACGUAGGGGGCAAGCGUUAUCCGGAUUUACUGGGUGUAAAGGGAGCGUAGACGGAAUGGCAAGUCUGAAGUGAAAUACCCGGGCUCAACCUGGGAACUGCUUUGGAAACUGUUGUUCUAGAGUGUUGGAGAGGUAAGUGGAAUUCCUGGUGUAGCGGUGAAAUGCGUAGAUAUCAGGAAGAACACCGGAGGCGAAGGCGGCUUACUGGACAAUAACUGACGUUGAGGCUCGAAAGCGUGGGGAUCAAACAGGAUUAGAUACCCUGGUAGUCCACGCUGUAAACGAUGAAUAC